UACGUAGGGGGCUAGCGUUGUCCGGAAUCAUUGGGCGUAAAGAGCGUGUAGGCGGCCCGGUAAGUCCGCUGUAAAAGUCAAAGGCUCAACCUUUGAAUGUCAGUGGAUACUGCCGGGCUAGAGUCCGGAAGAGGCGAGUGGAACUCCUGGUGUAGCGGUGGAAUGCGCAGAUAUCAGGAAGAACACCCGUGGCGAAGGCGGUUCUCUGGGACGGUACUGACGCUGAGACGCG
rnacentral:rRNA from 1 species